CUUGAUCGAGCCCAGCCACAGCGGCUCGUCCCCGGCCCGCUCCCGCCCGUAGGUCGCCAGCAGGGCCUGCGCCUC
rfam:Streptomyces rubellomurinus strain ATCC 31215 contig-174, whole genome shotgun sequence.